UUUUAUUUGAGAGUUUGAUCCUGGCUCAGGAUGAACGCUGGCGGCGUGCCUAACACAUGCAAGUUGAGCGAUUUACUUCGGUAAAGAGCGGCGGACGGGUGAGUAACGCGUGGGUAACCUACCCUGUACACACGGAUAACAUACCGAAAGGUAUGCUAAUACGGGAUAAUAUAUUUGAGAGGCAUCUCUUGAAUAUCAAAGGUGAGCCAGUACAGGAUGGACCCGCGUCUGAUUAGCUAGUUGGUAAGGUAACGGCUUACCAAGGCGACGAUCAGUAGCCGACCUGAGAGGGUGAUCGGCCACAUUGGAACUGAGACACGGUCCAAACUCCUACGGGAGGCAGCAGUGGGGAAUAUUGCACAAUGGGCGAAAGCCUGAUGCAGCAACGCCGCGUGAGUGAUGAAGGCCUUCGGGUCGUAAAACUCUGUCCUCAAGGAAGAUAAUGACGGUACUUGAGGAGGAAGCCCCGGCUAACUACGUGCCAG
rnacentral:rRNA from 1 species